AUUGAACGCUGGCGGAAUGCUUUACACAUGCAAGUCGAGCGGCAGCGCGGGGGCAACCCUGGCGGCGAGCGGCGAACGGGUGAGUAAUACAUCGGAACGUGUCCUUAAGUGGGGGAUAGCUCGGCGAAAGCCGGAUUAAUACCGCAUAAGCUCUGAGGAGGAAAGCGGGGGCUCCGUAAGGACCUCGCGCUGUUGGAGCGGCCGAUGUCGGAUUAGCUAGUUGGUGGGGUAAAGGCCCACCAAGGCGACGAUCCGUAGCUGGUCUGAGAGGACGAUCAGCCACACUGGCACUGCGACACGGGCCAGACUCCUACGGGAGGCAGCAGUAAGGAAUAUUGCGCAAUGGGCGAAAGCCUGACGCAGCGACGCCGCGUGGGGGAUGAAGGUCUUCGGAUUGUAAACCCCGUUUCGGGAGGGAAGAUGGAAUGGGGUAACCCAUUCGGACGGUACCUCCAGAAGCAGCCACGGCCAACUUCGUGCCAGCAGCCGCGGUAAC
rnacentral:rRNA from 1 species